rnacentral:lncRNA from 1 species
GGCUGCGUUACCACCGACCAGUCCUCAGCCGGCAACAUGAAGCUGGGUGGCCUCUGCCUCCUGCUCCUCCUCGCCGUCCUUCUCACCCUCAAUGCAGAGUUCCAAGCAGUUGAUGUAGGUAUCUGUGUGACGGAGUGCAAGGUAGACCAGGACUGUGGGGCAGGAAGACGAUGCACCAGCAAUGGAUGUGGCCGGGUCUGCUCCCCAGUCCGGCGAAGAGAGGCCUGCGAGCACCAGUGCAGAGAAGACAGGGACUGUGGGAGUGGACAUCAGUGCGUGAGGAAGGGCUGUGGGCACGUCUGCGCCCCCGUCCAUCAAGUCGAUGUAGGUAUCUGUGUGACGGAGUGCAAGGUAGACCAGGACUGUGGGGAAGGAAGACUAUGCAUCAGUAAUGGGUGUGGCCGUGUCUGCUUCCCAGGGCGAAGAGAUGUAGGUAUCUGUGUGACGGAGUGCAAGGUAGACCAGGACUGUGGGGAAGGAAGACGAUGCACCAGCAAUGGGUGUGGCCGUGUCUGCUCCCCAGUCCAGCAAAAAGAGGCCUGCGAGCACCAGUGCAGAGAAGACAGGGACUGUGGGAGUGGACAUCAGUGCGUGAGGAAGGGCUGUGGGCACGUCUGCGCCCCCGUCCAUCAAGUCGAUGUAGGUAUCUGUGUGACGGAGUGCCGUGUAGACCAGGACUGUGGGGAAGGAAGACAAUGCACCAGCAAUGGAUGUGGCCGUGUCUGCUCCCCAGCCCAGCAAAGAGAGGCCUGCGAGCACCAAUGCAGAGAAGACAAGGACUGUGGGAGUGGACAUCAGUGCGUGAGGAAGGGCUGUGGGCACGUCUGCUCCCCCAUCCCUCAAGUAGGUAUCUGUGUGACGGAGUGCAAUGUAGACCAGGACUGUGGGGCAGGAAGACGAUGCACCAGCAAUGGAUGUGGCCGUGUCUGCUCCCCACCCCAGGGAGGAGGACUCUGUGUGGACCGCUGCCGAGGAAACUGGGACUGUGGGGCCGGAGAAGAAUGUAUCAGGAAGGGAUGUGGACGGGUCUGCUCUCCAGCCCAGGAGCCAGGUAAGAGCCCUGCCUAGGUCUCCAACCCCACACAACCCAGGAGGGGACUGUGUGCUUACCUCUGCCUGGACUCCCCUUCCUUAGAGGGUUAAUUCCCA